rnacentral:rRNA from 1 species
UACGUAGGGUGCAAGCGUUACUCGGAAUUACUGGGCGUAAAGCGUGCGCAGGCGGUUGUGCAAGACAGAUGUGAAAUCCCCGGGCUUAACCUGGGAAUUGCAUUUGUGACUGCACGGCUAGAGUGUGUCAGAGGGGGGUAGAAUUCCACGUGUAGCAGUGAAAUGCGUAGAUAUGUGGAGGAACACCGAUGGCGAAGGCAGCCCCCUGGGUCAAAACUGACGCUCAUGCACGAAAGCGUGGGGAGCAAACAGG